rnacentral:rRNA from 1 species
GAUGAACGCUAGCGGCAGGCUUAACACAUGCAAGUCGAACGGUAACAUGAGAGCUUGCUCUUGAUGACGAGUGGCGCACGGGUGCGUAACGCGUAUGCAACCUACCUUCAACAGGGGGAUAGCCCGAAGAAAUUCGGAUUAAUACCCCAUAAUAUUACAGAUUCGCAUGUUUCUGUAAUUAAAGCUUCGGCGGUUGAAGAUGGGCAUGCGUCCCAUUAGUUUGUUGGUGAGGUAACGGCUCACCAAGACUACGAUGGGUAGGGGGCCUGAGAGGGUGAUCCCCCACACUGGUACUGAGACACGGACCAG